UACGUAGGGUGCAAGCGUUAUCCGGAAUUAUUGGGCGUAAAGAGCUCGUAGGCGGUUUGUCACGUCUGCUGUGAAAACUGGAGGCUCAACCUCCAGCCUGCAGUGGGUACGGGCAGACUAGAGUGCGGUAGGGGAGAUUGGAAUUCCUGGUGUAGCGGUGGAAUGCGCAGAUAUCAGGAGGAACACCGAUGGCGAAGGCAGAUCUCUGGGCCGUAGCUGACGCUGAGGAGCGAAAGCAUGGGGAGCGAACAGG
rnacentral:rRNA from 1 species